CAUGGGGCCCAGUCUCAUGAAUUGUGAGAUCACGAUGACCUGAGCCAAAACCAAGAGUCAGAUGCUCCACCAACUGAGCCACCCAGGUGCCCCCCUCAGGGAAGUAUUUCGUAGUGAGAAGGGCUGAAGACUACUGAAGAAGGGGAGAUGAUGGACUGCUGUGAAAGCAGCAUGCAGUUUUAGUCAGGGUGAGAAAGGAUGAAGCCCUGGGAGCCAUUUGCAGCCAUCUUUCACCAAUGAGAAGAGAACCUGACUCAAAAGGGAAUUAACAGUGAAGAGGCAUAGCUGAAGAUGGAAAGACUGAGCCCUGAUAAUAUUGUUGAGCCCUGAAUCAGGUCAUGCUUUAUAGUUAAAUGAGCAAAUUCCUUUUAUUGUAACCAGAUUAAGUUGUGUGAUCUGUAUCUUGAAACCUAGAGACGCCUACCAUAUCUAUUUAAAAAUUAAUAUAGAUGAAACCUAGGGGAAUGCAUUUCUUUGAACUCCUCUCCUCCUCCUCUCCAAAAUGACAAUCAUGUUCAUUAUCAACAUAAGCAUCCCAAAUGAUGGGAAGAAGUAUAAAAUAUAUCCAAUCUCAUGUUACAUGCAGAUAUGUGACACAAAAUAACUCUUCCUAAAGCAUAUUUGGAUGUAAAUGCUUUGCAAAUAAAGUGAGGACUUACUUUACCAUUCUAAGGUAGGACGCUGUGCCCCCACGUUCAUACAGUUUUGUCCACUGUGAGUGUGGAGAAUUGAAAAAGAAAUGAAGACACGCUAGAAUAAGGUAAGGGUCAAGCCCUGAGGAGGCUUUUUAAAACAAGAGACACAAUGAAUGAAAUUUACUGGAUGUGAAAUGACACUGACUCUAAAGUAUGAAAAUCAAAUGAAAAUUGAAGGAGGCAGAUAAUCUAUUCAAUGUCUAAAUGAUAAUUAUCAAAUGUUUGGAAAUUAUUUUUAAUAAUAUACUUUAUUAAACUCUUAAUCACACAGAUUUCUAGCUGUUAUAUUUAAAAAAUAAAUAUCUGUAAGAAUGCACACCCAAGUAACAUGUUAAUAGUACAAAACAGCUUUCUCAGCCUAAACGCCCAAAGGGCCUUAACCAAAAAGGCUGAUUUUUAAACCUGGGAAUGGAGAAGAUGUAGAAAGGUUCUGGCUAAUUCAGUGAUCUACCUUAACAAGUAAUUUGGAAACCAUUUUUACAUCUUUUUUAAAAAAACUAUUGUUCUUAGAUUUGGAAAUAAUUAACGGUUUCACAAGAAGUUGCAAAGAUAGAUAGAUUCCCUUUACCCAGGUUUCCCCAAUGGUUACAUCUUACAUACUUCUAGUACAAUAUCAAAACGAAGAAUGUUAUAUGGGAACAAAGUGUAUAGAGUUCUCUAUCUUACAUGUGUAGACUUGUGUGACCAUCAUAAUCAGAAUACAGAACUAUUUUAUUAACACAAAGAUUUCCCGCCCCCCCCAUCCACCAGAACAAAAGCUUCAUGUAAAAAUACUUAACCCUGUUGUAAGAGUAUGUAUUUUGUAUUUGAACAUGGUCUAGACUAUUUCAUCUCUGCAAAAUGUUGUUCCCACCCUUUGAAUUAAUGCCAUGACCAAUUAUUAAUAGGUCCUUAUCCUCAAUUUUAAAAAAAAAACAACGCAAUCAAUCUGAACUUCUAGACUUAUUUCCU